rnacentral:snoRNA from 1 species
UCUCCGUCAGUGUAACUAUGACAGAAAAAGGCUUCAUUGGAGUAUGUCCUUAGCCUAUAAUCUUCAUCAUACAGAGA